rnacentral:rRNA from 1 species
GACGAACGCUGGCGGCGUGCUUAGCACAUGCAAGUCGAACGGAAAGGCCCUGCUUUUGUUGGGUGCUCGAGUGGCGAACGGGUGAGUAACACGUGAGUAACCUGCCCUUGACUUUUGGAUAACUUCAGGAAACUGUGGCUAAUACCGGAUAGUAGCUCCUGCUGCAUGGUGGGUUUUGGAAAGUUUCGGCGGUUGGGGAUGGACUCGCGGCUUAUCAGCUUGUUGGUGGGGUAGUGGCUUACCAAGGCUUUGACGGGUAGCCGGCCUGAGAGGGUGACCGGCGACAUUGGGACUGCGAUACGGCGCAGACUGCAACGGGAGGCAGCAGUGGAGAAUAUUGCACAAUGGGCGGAAGCCUGAUGCAGAAACGCCGCGUGCGGGAUGACGGCCUUCGGGUUGUGAACAGCAUUCGCCUGUGACGAAGCGUGAGUGACGGUAAUGGGUAAAGAAGCACCGGCUAACUACGUG